rnacentral:rRNA from 1 species
CCUACGGGAGGCAGCAGUGGGGAAUCUUGCGCAAUGGGCGAAAGCCUGACGCAGCCAUGCCGCGUGAAUGAUGAAGGUCUUAGGAUUGUAAAAUUCUUUCACCGGGGACGAUAAUGACGGUACCCGGAGAAGAAGCCCCGGCUAACUUCGUGCCAGCAGCCGCGGUAAUACGAAGGGGGCUAGCGUUGCUCGGAAUUACUGGGCGUAAAGGGAGCGUAGGCGGAUAGUUUAGUCAGAGGUGAAAGCCCAGGGCUCAACCUUGGAAUUGCCUUUGAUACUGGCUAUCUUGAGUACGGAAGAGGUAUGUGGAACUCCGAGUGUAGAGGUGAAAUUCGUAGAUAUUCGGAAGAACACCAGUGGCGAAGGCGACAUACUGGUCCGUUACUGACGCUGAGGCUCGAAAGCGUGGGGAGCAAACAGGAUUAGAUACCCUGGUAGUCCACGCUGUAAACGAUGAGUGCUAGUUGUCGGGCGAUGCAUGCAUGUCGGGUGGACGCGAGCUAACGACAUUAAGUACACCUCCGCCGUCGGGGAGGUACGGGUCGGCGAAGAAGUUAAAACUUAACUAAAUUAGAAGUUAGUUACGGCGUGAGACGUUGCCGAACGGACGACCGACCGAAGGGGAGGUUAGG